CAACAGGAUCCCUUGGGAUCCACCUCAGCAUACCUAAGAAACAAAA
rfam:Brassica napus, WGS project CCCW01000000 data, contig: 39159